rnacentral:tRNA from 1 species
UCGAUAUUAGCUCAAAGGUAGAGCAAUCGACUUGUAAUCGAUCGUUGGGGGUUCAAUUCCCUCAUAUCAAA